AAACCAGAGCCUCUUUUUCUGGCUGGAAACACGGAGCGUAUAGAAGAGAAGAAGGUGGUUCCUGCUGUGCCAGAAACCCUUAAGAAAAAGCAAAAGAAUUUCACAGAACUGAAGAUCAAGCGCCUAAGAAAGAAGUUCACCCAAAACAUGCUUUGAAAGGCAAGGAGGAAGCUUAUCUGUGAAAAAGCAAAGCACUAUCACAAGGAAUAUAGGCAGAUGUACAGAACUAAAAUUCGAAUGGCAAGGAUGGCAAGAAAAGCUGGCAACUUCUAUGUACCUGCAGAACCCAAAUUGGCCUUUGUUAUCAGGAUCAGAGGUAUCAGUGGUGUGAGCCCAGAGGUCCGAAAGGUGUUGCAGCUUCUUUGCCUUUGUCAAAUCUUCAAUGGAACAUUUGUGAAGCUCAACAAGGCUUCAGUUAACACGCUGAGGACUGCAGAAUCGUAUAUUACAUGGGGGAACCCAAAUCUGAAGUCAGUAAAGGAACUAAUCUACAAGCGUGGUUAUGGCAAAAUCAAUAAGCAAAUUGCUUUGACAGAUAACGCUUUGAUUGUUCCAUCUCUUGGUAAAUAUGGCAUCAUCUGCAUGGAGGAUCUGAUUCAUGAGAUCUAUACUAUUGGCAAAUGCUUCAAAGAAGCCAAUAACUUCCUGUGGCCCUUCAAAUUAUCUUCUCCACGAGGCGGAAUGAAGAAAACCUUGAGUAUCUACAAUAUAAGCUGCUCCAAAGUGCUUGAAACAUCUGAGCACACUUUCCAAAAUAGGUAGUGUUCUGUUGCCCAUCAUGACAAUCUCUCAGUAACUCUGAAAUAUACUCAUUCAAGCAGCCCCCAUUUACAAACAUCCACCAACCGUACCUCUGCCAGCCCUGCUACAGGAAAAAACACUUAGGACAUGCCAAGGAUUAUGCCAAGUACUUUGCAUCUAGUGUCUCAUUUGCUCCUUACUACACCCUAUGAGUCUAAUAUCUCCAAAUAAAUAGCAAUCUAUAGUAACAAAGGCAAUAUUCUUUUUUUUUUUUUUUUGAGACGGAGUCUCGCUCUGUAGCCCAGGCUGGAGUGCAGUGGCCGGA